CCUUAGUGUGGGGGGGGACCUCCACAGCAACACGAGAGCCAGCUAUCUAGAAUUAGCCCUUCCAUACCUGGAAAGCUCGCUGGCCUUCUGAACUCAGAAUGUUCCAGUAAUUUGAAGUGACUAUUCAAUAUUUAAGACCAAGACCUUUCUAAUCAGUCUGUGAAGAGACAUGGCAGCAACCUUCCUCGGCCUAAGUGGUGAUGAGUACCCAACACAGCAAUUGCCAGGACACAUUAAAUGUGCUCCCUCAAAAAAUAAAAAGACAGAAGACCAUCUGUGUAGUAUCCAGCACUGAAUUCACUGUGGAAGAAAACUGAUGCUGCCUUCUGCUUGAAGCUUGGAGCUUUGGGGGCUACCGAGCAUCAAGGAUUCAAAUGUGAGAUUGCUGAAGAGCUCACUUACUCCCUGAACAUGCAUCCCUGGUCCCGGUUCGGCUUCUAAGCAGACAGACAGAAGUGGCUUAAUAAGUGCCUAUUGAGCUUGAACUGGGCUGAUGAGAGCUACCUGGCAGCGAGGAAGGAACCGUCUGGCUGUGCUCCAGAGAGAAGACAUGCAGGUUGUCCACAUCUGCAUGGUUGAAGCUGGGCUGCUGAAGUUCGUGUCCCAGGAGAGGAAACAGAUAGGCAUCAGAGCAAGCAGCCUUAUAUGUACUUUAUGACUUCGUCUGUGUCAUGUCCACUCUCUUGUCAUUGACCUGAAACUGGCCACGUAACCACAGAAAAGUAGGCUCUGGUUAAAUAACCAUGUACCUUGUUUAAAUUCAAAGAUGCCAGUCACUAAAUGAAAGGGUACUAGAAAUCCCACAUCUGACAAAGGAUCCAUAUCUAGAAUACAUAAGGAGCCCACAAAUUUUAGAAAAAAAAAUUCUUACCUCCAGAACAAGCAAUUUAACUAGAAAAUGUGUAAAUGUGUGUUUGUGUGUGUGUGUGUGUGUGUGUGUGUGUGUGUGUGUGUGUGUGUGUGUGUUACUACAGAAAAACAGCAGCUAAUCAUAAUGCCGAGUUGUGGCGCUCAGUUCUAGUGGAUACAUCUACAAAACACUCCUGAACUUAAGCCUCAGGGAGCAUCGCAGAAGAGGGGCAGAAAGACUACAAAGAGCCAGAGGAUCAGGGAAUUUGCUGUGAGAUUGUGACUCCUAAUAACAUCGGAUGCUUCACCCACAAGGUCUCAUCAACAUGUCUGUUCAAACGUGAACUGAACAAAGAUGAUACCAAUGAGCAUGACAAACCGGUGGGGGGGGGGGGGUGGAGCCCAUAAGGUCUCAGUCCUACACACACACACAAAUUAUAGGCAACUAAGAAAAGUUGAGAGCCAGAGAGGCGGUCUUCCCCAUGGUCAAGCAGACCAAUUGGUUUUCCUAUGCCAAAUAGUCAGUCCUGAAAACACACCUACAAGUAGCAUACAAACUCAACAAGCUAUAUUUAGAAGUAUAUAUGUGCAUAUACAAAUACAUAUAUGCAUGCAAUAACAAGUACUUAAAAAGACCAUGAAUUUGAGGGAGAGGAGUAUC